UGAAAACGUUGAGAUUAAAUUCUGUUUUACUAGAACAGUGAUAGAGACUGGGUUGGUAAUACUUAAGGACAGAAAUAACAGAAUAAAUGAUCCACUGCUACAAGUUGCUUUCUUAAUGAUAUUAUUAUCCUAUUUCAGAAACAUACUUUACAUGUGCUACCUAUAUUUAUAUAAUAAUACUGGUUUUUAUCUCUAUCAAAAGUAGAAUUUUACAGUGUCUUUUUCAAAAGCUACAAGGAAAUUUCUCAAUCUUAUUCCAAAAUGCACUAAUUACUUCUGGUAUGAAAAUGUUCACUGUGGUUUAAAUUCUGAGACUAAAUAAAAAUACUUUACAUAUUGCACUAUCCCAUGGGCAACAGACAUAUAGCCAUGAAAUUAAGAUAUUUUCCAAAAAGAAGAGAUUUAGCCUUUUUUAUUUUAGUUGCUGUUUUCUAAUUUGUCAUCAGUGUUAUACAGAGUAGAAGUUGACCUUGUUUGGCUUUUUUUUUUCUAAGAGCAUGUCGGCCCUCUGGUUAUGUUUGGCUGAUCUAUCUAUUCAUAUAUCAGGGUUCUUAAAGCAAUCAUAAAAAGCAGAUACUUAAUACUGAAUUGACUGUGUGCUAACUAUAUUGCUUAUUUAAGUAACCUUUAGAGAUGAGGCUGUCUUUCCCUCAUUUACAUUCCUUAAAAAUAAGGGGGUUGAGUUCGAUCGGUAGCGGGAGCCGAGAGCGGACCCCAGAGAGCCCUGAGCAGCCCCACCACCACCGCCCUAGUUACCAUCACACCCCGGGAUGAGCCGCAGCUGCCCCAGCUGGCUCCAGUCACCAUCACCGCAGCCAUGAACAGGAAGGCUGAGACCCAGCAGCUGCCAGCCACCUCCACCCCCGCCCUCAGUGCUGCCUACACCAAGCCCGGCACUACGGGUAGCUGCACGGCCAGCGGGCAGUGACGGCCAGGGCGCCUGCCGGCGGGGACAAAAAAGUCAUCACAACGAAGGUUUUGGGAACAGUCAAAUGGUUCAGUGUAAGGAACGGAUAUGGUUUCAUCAACCGGAAUGACACCAAGGAAGAUGUAUUUGUACACCAGACUUCCAUAAAGAAGAAUAACCCCAGGAAGUACCUUCACAGUGUAGGAGAUGGAGUUUGAUGUUGAAGGAGAAAAGGAUGCAGAGGCAGCAAAUGUUACAGGUCCUGGUGGAGUUCCAGUUCAAGGCUGUAAAUACCCAGCAGACUGUAACCAUUAUAGACGCUAUCCACGUCGUAGGGGGUCCUCCACACAAUUACCAGCAGAAUUACCAGAAUAGUGAGAGUGUGGAAAAGAAUGAGGGAUCGGAGAGUGCUCCUGAAGGCCAAGCCCAAUAGCGAAGGCUCUACAGGCCGAGGUUCUCACCUUACUACAUGCGGAGACCCUGUGGGCUUCAACCACAGUAUUCCAACCCUCCUGUUCAGGGAGAAGUGAUGGAGGGUGCUGACAACCAGGGUGCAGGAGAGCAUGGGAGACCAGUGAGACAGAAUGUAUCAGGGUUAUAGACCACGAUUCCGUGGGGGCCCUCCUCCCCAAAGACAGCCUAGAGAGGAUGGCAAUGAAGAGGACGAGGAAAAUCAAGGAGAUGAGACCCAGGGUCAGCAGCCACCUCAACGUCGGUAUCGCUGCAACUUCAACUACCCACGCAAAUGCCCAGAGAACUCUAAACCACAAGAUGGCAAAGAGACAAAAGCAGCUGAUCCACCACCUGAGAAUUUGUCCAUUCCCAAGGCUGAGCAGGGCAGGGCUGAGUAAAUGCCAGCUUACCAUUUUUACCGUCAUCUGGUUUAGUCAUCCAACAAGAAAAAAUGGAUAUGAAAUUCCCAGCAAUAAGAAAUGAACAAAAGGUUGGAGCUGAAGACCUUAAGUGCUUGCUUUUUGCCCAUUGACCAGAAAUACCAGAACUAUCUGCAUUGUCUAUGCAG